AGUAAGUGUCUGAAUCUAACAUCUAUUGAAAGGGGUAUGAUACCUUCAUCUCUAAAAGAACUUGUGAUUCAUGAUUGUAGGAGACUUACAAUUAUUGGUGAGGACACCCUACCUUUCUAUCUAAAAAUACUUGCGAUAAACUGAAAUUUUUUAAGGAUUUAAGUGUUUUUCUUCUUGAGUACUUAGAGAUUUGUUUUUGUGAUUCUCUCAAGUGCAUAUCAUUAGAUGGUCUUUUGCCUCAGACACUCAACCGACUGAAUGUUCAAUAUUACAGAGCACUGGAAACAUUAUCUAGUGGAAAUGAGUACCUCCCUAAGGCACUUACGUCCAUCUAUAUUUAUAAUUGUGAAGAGCUAAAGUCAAUUGGUGAGUCCUUUGAUAAUAGCCCGUGUCUUCAAGAAAUUACUUUAGAGGAUUGUGAAAAUCCUGAAUCCUCGCCUUUAGGUCUACACCAUCUUCCAUUCCUUGAGUCUAUUGUAGUAAUAGAUUGUCCAAAACUGUUUGUGAGAGAUGGUGUUCCCACCAGCCUUAGACAACUCUUAAUUAAUGAAUGUGAAGAUGACAAGGGAAUGGGAAUGUUCACCUCUCUAAAAAGCUUGCAAAUCGGACAUCUCCUACAGCUUAAAUCCAUCUCAGACUUGAGCAAUCUCACUGCUCUUGAAAAGUUGAAUAUCGCUUUUCUCCCACUGCUUGAAUCCAUCCCAGACCUGAACAACCUCAAGUCUUUUAAGGUAUUCACCAUUGUUGGGCUGGAAUUUGAACUAAUUCCAAAUCUCAGUGGCCUAACAUCUCUUUCAGAAUUGUGCAUUGAGGAAUGCCAGAAGCUCAAAUCAGUUCCAGGUCUCAGCUGCCUCACCUCUCUUGAAAGUAUGGAGAUCAAUGAUCUCCCACAGCUUGAAUCAAUCCAAGAUCUGAGUAACCUCACCUCUCUUACAAGAUUCGAGAUUAGUAAAUGCCCAAUGAUCAAAUCAAUUCCAAGUCUGAGCAGCCUCAGCUCUCUUACGGAAUUCAGCAUUACAGAAUGCGUAGGGCUUAAAUCAAUUCCAACUCUCAGCAGCCUCACCUCUCAUGAAAGAUUGGUCAUUGGGAAUGCCCAAACCUCAAAUCCAUUCCAGACCUUGGCAACUUCAAAGAUUUAUCAAUUAUGGAAUGUCCAAAACUCAAACCCCUUGUGUCUCUCAAUUGUUGUUUGUCCAGGACUGCUAUUCUUAGAUUCAAUGUUGCAGAAAUCAUCGGAAGGCUUAAAAUGAUCCCAAAUCAUUUAUGUUCUGCACAUCAAGAAGCAAGUAAAAAAUUUUGCUCUAGUUUCAGAAGUAAGGUAUGGCAUUUUGAUAACAGAGUACUUACAAAUUGAGAGUGGUUCCUCUGUUCCAAAACUGCUCUACUUUGUCAUCUUAUAGAUUGUCUCAACUCUUGUCGUUCCAAGGUAAUCAAAAGUGCCACUGUCUUCAACUAAACAUAAGCAACUGUUAGAACCCCACUCCUGGUCUAAACUUACUGGCUUGUUUGCUUGCACUUUAGAACCUAACUCCUGGCUUCAGCUGAUCUGGCUAGAGGGUUUGAAAGUUAAGUACACAAAUAGCAACAUGGCUACAGAAAUAGAGAAAAUAUGAAGAGUUUGAAGAAUAAACCACUAGAUCAUUACUUCAUGAACUUGGGCUUCAUUGUUUGCUCUGGCGUCGUAGACUUAUUGUGAUGAUAAGAGGAAUGUGAAGCUGGCAGGCAGCAAUGUAGGCAAAGGAAAUCUGCUGAUGCAGCAUGUAAUUAGUUCCAACAGUGGAUCAAAGAAAGCCAUAAAAUAAAAACUCUAAAAUCUCGUCUCUUGAACUUGUGGAGAUCAAGAAGUGUUAUCUGCUUGUAUAUUUUGUCAAAGAAAGUUUGUUAGAUAUGAUAAUCUCAAGUCCUUAUCAAAUCAACUGAACAGUUUCACAACCUCAAACCUGGAACUGAACUUCUGGAGGUGCUCCUCGCUGCCACUAGCAUGACUGGUUUCCUGGAAUUUGUUGUAGAAUGUAAUUUGAUAGAAGUGUAGAGAGAUACUGUUGUAUUGAAUUUAAUGUAACCAACACAAAAGUCUUGAUUGAUUCUUUCAAAUACAAUAUAAAGAGUUCAACAAUUCAUUACAACCAAAAGCAUUACAAAGAACCAGAAAUCACAGCAAGAACACUUCAAACCAGCAUUCAAGCGGCUGGUGCUCUCCCUCUCCCUCACUCUUCACAAUUCUUCUCUGCUGCUCUCUCCUUCUCCAGGUCCUUUUCUUCCUUUAUCUCUCCACUCCUGUUUCGCCACCUCAGCAAGGGACAUUCUUGUGGUCUCCUGUUUUGGCUGCUUGUCCACUAUCUCCUGUUACUUGUCUGUUGCAUGCUUCCUUGCUGGAUGUUUGACAUUUGUUGCCUCAAG